UACGGAGGGUGCAAGCGUUGCUCGGAAUCACUGGGCGUAAAGCGUACGCAGGCGGCACGUUAAGUCGGGUGUGAAAGCCCGGGGCUCAACCCCGGAACUGCAUUCGAUACUGGCGCGCUGGAGUGCGGGAGAGGGAAGCGGAAUUCCUGGUGUAGAGGUGAAAUUCGUAGAUAUCAGGAGGAACACCAGUGGCGAAAGCGGCUUCCUGGCCCGAUACUGACGCUCAUGUACGAAAGCGUGGGGAGCAAACAGG
rnacentral:misc_RNA from 1 species